rnacentral:lncRNA from 1 species
CGUGAGGGAAGUGGGGAGAAGCUGUCACCCCAACUUGAGUUCAAGAAGACUCCUUGGAAGAAAAGACCACCAAAUUGAGAAUGAAAAGUAAGCUGUAGCUAUUCUUGGGAUGGGGCAGUGGCCCCAUGCUCUGGUCCCUGGCCUCAGCAGCUGUCCCAGCUCAUAACCCCAAGUGCCGGCUUUCCCAUCCCGUCUCAGGAUCUGCACUCGACGGGCACCAGGGCUUUCUUCAGCGAAUAUCUAAACUCUCUCAAGUUUCUCCAGAGACUUUCAUACAUCUACAAAGAUGACCUCAUUCUGUAACAGCAUGGAUUUAACCCGCUCUUCAAUGUCACUCCCCCACAGAAUGCACUGUUCAUCGUCACCCUAUCCACUAUCGUCAGUCUUACUAAAAGUCAAACAUCAACAUUAGUAGUAACUCUGGCAUUGUAGCGAUAUCUCCAAGAGAAAAUUGUUUUGAACUUUUCUGGGAAAAGUUCACAUAUGUUUUCUUAAAACGCUAGUUUUUACAAUCUCGCUACCAUGUGGCUUUCCUGAAGGAUUAAAUUUCUAAUGUCCUUCAACUAGAGAGAGGUAAAAAUUUUUCUAGAACAUGAAUUGCCCACUCCCCUCAUUCCUUCUCAGAAACUAACUGAAUUCCAGUGGGUGUGCCUGGCAAACCCAAAAGCAGUUUCUGUUCAGGAUGCUGGUCUUACCUGUGAAGGCGUUCAUGAACGUGGAGAGGGACCGGUUCAACAUUUUGAAGAAAGGGUCUCUGCACGGAUAUUUCUGAGACCCACAAAGGACGGUAUGCUCAAGAAUGUGAGGAACACCAGUACUGUCCAUGGGAGUAGUACGGAACUGCACGCUAGGGAAGGAGAAUGACCAGAACGCAAAAGGUUCAGCUUAGUGCUGCGGACACAGUUCCCAGAUGCAUCAUCACCUCAGGCUACUAGAAAUCAUCAUUCUGACACCACAAUCCUCCAGCACAGGGUUUUCCAACUAUAAUGUAAAUCAUUGACUCAGACUGUAAAAUUGUAUUUUGAUGAGAUUAUAAGUCAGUGUAAACUUUUCCUUAUUUUUCAAGAUGCUCUGUCAAUAAAAAUACUAGUGAGAUGAUAUUU